GACGUAGGUGGCGAACGUUAUCCGGAAUUAUUGGGCGUAAAGGGUGCGUAGAUGGCCUGAUAAGUUAGCAGUGGGAAAUCGAGGCUCAACCUCGUGGAAGCUGGUAAUACUGUCAGGCUCGAGUGCAGGAGAGGUUAACGGAACUCCAUGUGGAGCGGUAAAAUGUGUAGAUAUAUGGAAAGAACACCAAUAACGGCGAAGGCAGUUAACUAUUCUGUUACUGACAUUUGAGG
rnacentral:rRNA from 1 species